ACAAAAACGAUUGCAUCAAAGGCAUCAAAACACUCCAUAUACAAUACCGUGGGGUGUCAACAUUUCAAAUAUAUGCACGCGCAUUGCAAGAAUAUAAAUUGGGAUAUCAAAAAGGCCCCCAAAAAGAAGAUAGGCAAAGAAUAUAUAUCAAAUUUGAAAAACACAUGUCAGAAGUUUGGCAUUGCACCCGCCCAAACAACCCAACAAACCUAUGCAUAGGUGGUAUCAUGGUACACAGAAAAUGUUGCUGAACACAUAUUGGGGUGUUCUGUGGCAGUAACACAUAUCAGGAACUGAGAAUCCAUGCUUAAAAUAGAAUGUGUGUGAAAAAUAACACAAUGACUACCCAAACGUUUGACAGAGACUGGUGGUAGAAUUAGUGCAUGGAAAGUGUUAAAAUACCACCAUUUGAAAUACCCUAGGGUAUCUACUUUUCAAAAACAUAUGGUUUGAUGGGGGCAAAUUACAUUGGCUGGCUUCAAAAAUGUCCCAAGUGGGACAUGGGUGUCUGAUGACCAGCUGUGAAAAUUCCUAAUAAUUUGGAAAACUGGAAUGUGCACCCUCCAAAUAAGGUCUUUUAGCCCCCAGAGAACCCAACACACCUAUACAUGGGGGAUAUCACUGUACUCAGGAGAUGUUGCUGAACACAUAUUGGGGUGUUCUUUGGCAGUAACCCUUAAAUGCAGUAUGGUCUUUGUUAAUCUUUG